ensembl:lncRNA
AGGGAGAAGCAGGCUCCCUGCAGGGAUCCCGAUUCGGGACUCCAUCCUGGGACCCCAGGAUCACGCCCUGGGCCGCCGAAGGCCGGCGCUAAACUGCUGGGCCUCCCAGGGAUCCCACUACUUUUCCAAGCAUCUUAUGAAUAUUUACUCAUUUCAUUUUUGUGAUGCCCCUGUAAGGAGGCUAUUAUUAAUAACCCUGUUUUACAGAGUGAGAAGCAGACCAGAGAGGUCAGUAAACUAAGGUCUCGCAGCUGGUAGAUGGUAGAGCUGGGCUUCAAACGCAGAUAGUCUGACUCCAGGGUUUGGAUGCUCCACCAUCCCACUCUGCAAAGACAGUAUUGCCCUCUAGCCAAAUGGACACUUAAAAGUGAAAACUGGUAAGCUGUAGAACUUUGUUUUGGGAAUUGUUUUUCUGGUUGUUUUUAUUUUGAACUCUCCCGAUGGAAAUGCUGCUAAGGAAUCUGUUCCGGUAAAUAGAGGGUCAGGAUGAAGACCAACUGCUCAGAGACUCUGCAUUCUGUGCUCAUUUGGUUCCUCUGCUGGAGCAUCAUGACUGCAGGUCCUGCCCUCUGAGUGAUGUGGGCCCUCCGGAGGAGGUGCAGUACAGACAAAUCCUGCUGCCCACCCGGCCAGGGAGCAGCCUGGAGGCCCUUCUUUUCUGCCCGCCCCAUCGCCGAGUUGGUCAGCAUCAGCAAAACCACCUGGACGCCCGAAGCCAGACAGCCGGGAGGCCCCGGCCCUCUGACGCUGAUCUGAUGGCCUACACAAAGCGUUCACUGCAGCGUGAACUUGCUGACUAGCAGCACCCUGUGCGCUGGGGAUGAACCAAAUCUUGGUCAUGUUAGACCUGUGGAUUCCUGGCUGUGAAAGCUGAUGAGAAAACUCACUCCCACCCUCCACCCCAGCUCUCUCAGCUAACCUGCCUCCCCGCCACUGUCCUCUCCAGCCUGGCCCGAGGUCUACCAGCUGCUUCCUGUGCUCGUCUCCCAAGACGUGACUUAAAAGUAUGUCCCUCAGCUCCCCCAGCAUGCUCUCCCUGGGCCCUAAACAGCCUGUGCCCCGACCUAGUAUCUAAACCAGAGACACUGCCCAGACUGGCAGAGGGGGUGGCUCAGACCUGCGUUCAGGGAUGUCAGCACUGCAGGCAAAGUGUGGAAGCCCGGGGACAGCCGGCUUCUCAGCUGUCCUAAGUCAGCUGAGACUGAGUCGCCUUCUCAAAGCCUCCAAUGGAGGCAUAAUGAAUCCCCUCUCCUUGGCUUGCAGGUAGAGUCACAAUUUUCCUGUUGUUUCCCCCUCACACCCCCAAUGCCAUCACCUUGAACAUCAGGUGAGGAGUGAGGCAUUUGCAUAUAGGAAGAGCUCCUUGAGCUCCUUGGUGUUUAAACCUGACUGUCCAGCCCAUGGGUCUUCACCUGGGCCCUGAACCCUACUCUGUAUUAAAGGAUGGGUAGGUGAGCCGGUGCUGAGGUGUUCAUCUGUAAAGUGCCCCCAGACAGCAUGAGGAUAAAUCAGAAAGAUGGUACCUGCUAACUAGGGUGCCUGAGCGGAAACACUUGAGCUGCCCUUGCCCUCAGCCUCAGGCAAACAAAGAGAACAUCCCUCAUUGGAAUCCUUUUUGUUGAGUAUUUUUGCAUGGUGCCCAGCCAGUGGACAGCUGCCUAAUGUUCACAGCCAAUGGCGUAUUUCAUGGAGCUGUGCUGACUGCCAGAAAUUCAUCACUUAUUUAACUAACUUUUAAAGAAGUUCAGAGGUGGGACAUCUGGGUGGCUCAGUAGUUGGGUGCCUGUCUUCGGCCCAGGUCGUGAUCCCAGGAUCUGGGAUCGAAUCCCGCAUCGGGCUCCUGGGACGAGCCUGCUACUCUCUCUGCCUGUGUUUCUGCCUCUCUGUCAGUCUGUAUCUCUCAUGAAUAAAUAAAUAA